CCCUACGGGGCGCAGCAGGCGCGAAACCUCCGCAAUGCGGGAAACCGUGACAGGGGGAUCCCAAGUGCUCAUGCAUUGCAUGGGCUGUUGUUUGGUUUAAGUAAUGGUUGGAAUAAGGCCUGGGCAAGACCGGUGCCAGCCGCGGCGGUAAUACCGGCAGCUGAAGUGGUAGCCGUGAUUAUUGGGCUUAAAGCGUUGUUAGCCGGAUAAGUAAGUCUUUGGUUAAAUCCUGGAACUUAACUGUGGGAUAUCUAGGGAUACUGCUUGUCUGAGACCGGGAGAGGU
rnacentral:rRNA from 1 species